UUGUAGGCAGUGUGAAAUAAUCUCUAGCUUGAACAUGUGGUUGUCGUAGACUGAUUUGAAUAGGGCAUUGGUAAGAGUAUCUGCUAACUGGUACGCGAUGCACUAAAAGUCAUGGAUUCUUUUCCUUGUGAUGCAAACGACCAUGAAAGCUGGGUAGAUGAUGAACUUUCUGAUUAGGAGGAGUUCUGUGAUCAUUCUGUUGAUUAGGAUUUCUCUCAAAUUUGAUGUCGAAUCCAACGUUGAUCCGAAAUGUUGCUUUAGUGGGUGACUGGCGUCAUGGAAAAAAGGAAAUUGAUUAAUACGAUAUUGUUAUACAGAAGAGGUUAUGACAAGGGUAGGAUCUCAUAUAAACUCAAACUUGUUUUAAGUGACAACAAUUCGAAGUUUUAUCUCUGUAAUAUUAUGGAAAUCCCCUGUCAUGUCGACUUCUCGGAUGAGAUGACUGUUGCUUUAAGUCUUGCUGAUGGUGCAGUGUUAGUUGUUGAUGCUGUUGAAGGAGUAAUGAUAAGUUCCCUCUCUUACGAUUAAUUCACUUUUAUAUGAUACACAUGAGUGUGGUGGAGCUUGUAUCUAAUAUAUGUUGCUUGUGCCAUUGGUGACAGGUAAAUAUGAAAAGGGUCAUUCGACAUGUGAUUGAAGAACGUAUCUCGAUUGUUCUUGUUAUCAACAAGGUUGACAAACUAAUAACAUAGCUUAAAUUGACUCCAAGAGACACCAACUUCAAAUUAAAUCACACAAUUGAAAUUGUCAACAAUCAUAUUAUAGCUGAUUCGUCUUCAGCUAGAAAUGCACAAGUAGUUGAUUUUGCGUUAGGCAAUGUCUGUUUUGCAAGUGAAGAGAUGCAUGGUUUUUCACACUGCAGUCAUUUGCCGAAGUGUAUGUGAAGCUUUACAUGAAUCCAGAGUCCAAAGGAUAAUUAUUUUUUUUGCAAAAAUUCCAAAAGGGCGAUCGAUUUCAAAAUGAAACCAAAAGGGCAAAAACACAUGCGACCAUGUAACUUGCCUUUUUUAGUUGACGAAUGUCAGUCAACUAUUAAGGGUAAGUCGCAGGCUACAACUAUUAAAGUUGUGGGUGUGUCAAGCUUGUUGUUCUAUACCCAUAAGUAAGGCUUCUCCAGGUUUUUUGGUUCUGAUUGAAGGAGUGGAUGAUGCAAUUAAGAAAACUACUACUCUUUGUAAUUUGGAAACUAAUGAGGAUGUGUACAUAUUUCGGCCUCUA